rnacentral:rRNA from 1 species
AACCUCCGCAAUGUGAGAAAUCGCGACGGGGGGAUCCCAAGUGCCAUUCUUAACGGGAUGGCUUUUCUUAAGUGUAAAAAGCUUUUGGAAUAAGAGCUGGGCAAGACCGGCGCCAGCCGCCGCGGUAACACCGGCAGCUCUAGUGGUAGCAAUUUUUAUUGGGCCUAAAGCGUCCGUAGCCGGUUUAAUAAGUCUCUGGUGAAAUCCUGUAGCUUAACUGUGGGAAUUGCUGGAGAUACUAUUAGACUUGAGACCGGGAGAGGUUAGAGGUACUCCCAGGGUAGAGGUGAAAUUCUGUAAUCCUGGGAGGACCGCCUGUUGCGAAGGCGUCUAACUGGAACGGUUCUGACGGUGAGGGACGAAAGUUAGGGGCGCGAACCGGAUUAGAUACCCGGGUAGUCCUAACUGUAAACGAUGCGGACUUGGUGUUGGGGUGGCUUUGAGCUGCUCCAGUGCCGAAGGGAAGCUGUUAAGUCCGCCGCCUGGGAAGUACGGUCGCAAGACUGAAACUUAAAGGAAGU